rnacentral:rRNA from 1 species
CAGCCGUAAUCUAUGCGCGUUAGGUGUAUCGGUGACCACGAGUUACCGAGGUGCCGAAGGGAAACCGUGAAACGUGCCGCCUGGGAAGUACGGUCGCAAGGCUGAAACUUAAAGGAUUGGCGGGGGAGCACAACAACGGGUGGAGCCUGCGGUUUAAUUGGACUCAACGCCGGACAACUCACCGGGGACGACAGCAAUAUGUAGGCCAGGCUGAAGACCUUGCCUGAAUCGCUGAGAGGAGGUGCAUGGCGUAGACGUCU